AGCUGAUGAGAGCCAGAGAGUUGGAGACUCCAUGUCUUCAGAGCUAGAAACAAUUGAAAGAAACUAAUUCUAAGUUGUUUAUGAAGUUUAAGUUUCCUUUUGGAGUACUGAGCGACCAGCUCUGUAAAUGCUGCAUGUUUGAAGACCAGAAGCUUCGUUUCGUUGAGUAUUUCUUUUGUUUGAAUCGUCUCGGUCAAGUUUUUGAGCUGGAUCUGGAUUCCGCUGAGGAUUCGUGGACUACAUUAGAUGGCGAGCCACCCACCCAUUCGAGUGUGAUCCUGUUCUAUGUCAUUGCACAUGGCAUAUCUAGUAGGAUUGUGGCCUGCUCGUGUCACAUCACUGACUAUGACUGACUUGACUUAUUGACUUGAAUUAACACUUUACGAACUGAACCAAGGAAUAACGCCUUGAACUGAGCUACUUGAAAGGAACUCUCUAACUUUUCUCUUUUGAGGAUUUAAAGGACUAUUUCCCAAGUUUUGAAGGACAAUUCAUUUUUAUUUUAUUUUAAAGGGUCCGAUCUUUUAUUUUGGGUAAUUGUAAAUAUUUCAACCUUUCAAUUUAUUACUAAAAGAAAGAAAAACUUA